UACGAAGGGUGCAAGCGUUAAUCGGAAUUACUGGGCGUAAAGGGUGCGUAGGCGGUUCGUUAAGUCUGUUGUGAAAUCCCCGGGCUCAACCUGGGAAUGGCAAUGGAUACUGGCGGGCUAGAGUGUGUCAGAGGAUGGUGGAAUUCCCGGUGUAGCGGUGAAAUGCGUUGAGAUCGGGAGGAACAUCAGUGGCGAAGGCGGCCAUCUGGGACAACACUGACGCUGAAGCACGAAAGCGUGGGGAGCAAACAGG
rnacentral:rRNA from 1 species